rnacentral:rRNA from 1 species
AACGCUAGCUACAGGCUUAACACAUGCAAGUCGAGGGGAAACGACAUCGAAAGCUUGCUUUUGAUGGGCGUCGACCGGCGCACGGGUGAGUAACGCGUAUCCAACCUGCCCACCACUUGGGGAUAACCUUGCGAAAGUAAGACUAAUACCCAAUGAUAUCUCUAGAAGACAUCUGAAAGAGAUUAAAGAUUUAUCGGUGAUGGAUGGGGAUGCGUCUGAUUAGCUUGUUGGCGGGGUAACGGCCCACCAAGGCUACGAUCAGUAGGGGUUCUGAGAGGAAGGUCCCCCACAUUGGAACUGAGACACGGUCCAAACUCCUACGGGAGGCAGCAGUGAGGAAUAUUGGUCAAUGGGCGAGAGCCUGAACCAGCCAAGUAGCGUGCAGGACGACGGCCCUAUGGGUUGUAAACUGCUUUUAUAAGGGAAUAAAGUGAGUCUCGUGAGGCUUUUUGCAUGUACCUUAUGAAUAAGGACCGGCUAAUUCCGUGCCAGCAGCCGCGGUAAUACGGAAGGUCCGGGCGUUAUCCGGAUUUAUUGGGUUUAAAGGGAGCGUAGGCCGGAGAUUAAGCGUGUUGUGAAAUGUAGACGCUCAACGUCUGCACUGCAGCGCGAACUGGUUUCCUUGAGUACGCACAAAGUGGGCGGAAUUCGUGGUGUAGCGGUGAAAUGCUUAGAUAUCACGAAGAACUCCGAUUG